CUACGUGCCAGCAGCCGCGGUAAUACGGAAGGUCCAGGCGUUAUCCGGAUUUAUUGGGUUUAAAGGGAGCGUAGGCCGCCUCUUAAGCGUGUUGUGAAAUGCGGGUGCUCAACAUCCGACUUGCAGCGCGAACUGGGGGGCUUGAGUGCGCCGAAAGUAGGCGGAAUUCGUGGUGUAGCGGUGAAAUGCUUAGAUAUCACGAAGAACUCCGAUUGCGAAGGCAGCUUACUGUAGCGCAACUGACGCUGAUGCUCGAAAGCGUGGGUAUCGAACAGGAUUAGAUACCCUGGUAGUCCACGCGGUAAACGAUGGAUGCUCGUUGUUGGCCCUUAUGGUCAGUGACCAAGCGAAAGCGUUAAGCAUCCCACCUGGGGAGUACGCCGGCAACGGUGAAACUCAAAGGAAUUGACGGGGGCCCGCACAAGCGGAGGAACAUGUGGUUUAAUUCGAUGAUACGCGAGGAACCUUACCCGGGCUUGA
rnacentral:rRNA from 1 species